CCUUUCAAAUCUUGCCUUCUUUUGCUUCAGAAAACCUCUGGAAUCUUCACAGGGUUAGACCCCGCUACUUUUACCCAUGACACCACUGGAGAUACACAUGGUGGAUCUAAGUCUUCUGUAUUGAUUCAUAUCUCCUUUUCCUAAGAUAUCCUCUCCCUUCCUGUGCACCCAGCAAGGCAAAUUUGAA